CGGACGGGUGAGUAAUGUCUGGGAAACUGCCUGAUGGAGGGGGAUAACUACUGGAAACGGUAGCUAAUACCGCAUAACGUCGCAAGACCAAAGAGGGGGACCUUCGGGCCUCUUGCCAUCAGAUGUGCCCAGAUGGGAUUAGCUAGUAGGUGGGGUAACGGCUCACCUAGGCGACGAUCCCUAGCUGGUCUGAGAGGAUGACCAGCCACACUGGAACUGAGACACGGUCCAGACUCCUACGGGAGGCAGCAGUGGGGAAUAUUGCACAAUGGGCGCAAGCCUGAUGCAGCCAUGCCGCGUGUAUGAAGAAGGCCUUCGGGUUGUAAAGUACUUUCAGCGAGGAGGAAGGC
rnacentral:rRNA from 1 species